UACGGAGGGUGCUAGCGUUGUUCGGAAUCACUGGGCGUAAAGCGCACGUAGGCGGAUCCUUAAGUCAGGGGUGAAAUCCCGAGGCUCAGCCUCGGAACUGCCUUUGAUACUGGAGGUCUCGAGUCCGGGAGAGGUGAGUGGAACUGCGAGUGUAGAGGUGAAAUUCGUAGAUAUUCGCAAGAACACCAGUGGCGAAGGCGGCUCACUGGCCCGGUACUGACGCUGAGGUGCGAAAGCGUGGGGAGCAAACAGG
rnacentral:rRNA from 1 species